rnacentral:rRNA from 1 species
AUUAUUAUCUAUUUACUGUGAACUGUAUUAUUAUUUGACAUUUGAGGGAUGUUCCAAUGUUAUAAGGAUAGACAUUGGAAAUGUUAACCGAGUCAUAAUCAGGUUUAGGCCUGGUAUCCUAUUAUUAUUUACCAAAUGAAUUCAGAAUUAAUAUUGUAACAUAGACCUAAAAAAUCUAUAAAACAACUUUUAACAACGGAUCUCUUGGUUCUCGCAUCGAUGAAGAACGUAGCAAAGUGCGAUAACUAGUGUGAAUUGCAUAUUCAGUGAAUCAUCGAGUCUUUGAACGCAACUUGCGCUCAUUGGUAUUCCAAUGAGCACGCCUGUUUCAGUAUCAAAACAAACCCUCUAUCCAACUUUUGUUGUAUAGGAUUAUUGGGGGCCUCUCGAUCUGUAUAGAUCUUGAAAUCCCUGAAAUUUACUAAGGCCUGAACUUGUUUAAAUGCCUGAACUUUUUUUUAAUAUAAAGGAAAGCUCUUGUAAUUGACUUUGAUGGGGCCUCCCAAAUAAAUCUUUUUUAAAUUUGAUCUGAAAUCAGGCGGGAUUACCCGCUGAACUUAAGCAUAUCAAUAAGGCGGAGGAAAA